AUUUAAUAAAAGUGUUGGCAUUAAAACUUCUUUAAUUCGUUUUCAGGACCUUGAAAAAACUUCUAAUAUAAAGUACUUACAUUAUUCAUGAGUUAAGAGAAAGUUGUAAUUUGAAAGGAGAAAAUAAAAUAGGUGUUUUCCCCUUUCUGAGUUACCCUUCAAAAUUCUUGGGAUCAUACUAUAUUCAGGGUCGUAUUAUAUUCUGGCUAAUAUGGUACCUCAUCAACCUUUGACUUAGUUCAGUCACCCAGUGUGGAAGAGGUAUGCAUGCAAAGAACAGAAGCUGGAGAUGGGUCAUCUGUCAGUCAAAUGAAGAUUCCAUUUGGAAUGUGACUGGGAAACAGUUGGAGGCAAGAGUCAACGGCUUGACUGGAUUUUAAGGUCUUUGGGCUUUCAGCCUCUUCCACACCAAUCAGCUUCGACUACAGCUCAAAAUUCCCGAGCUCAGGUGAUCUCUUGGCCCAUACCUCUCCAGUAGUAGGCACUAUAGUUCACUUGAUCUAGACCAUCCUUGGUGAUUUGUUGAAAGAAAAGAUCUCAAAAUGUCACUGAAAAGGUACAGACUGACAUCUGACAUUAAGUGGGACUUAAAAGGAUUAUCUAACUCUAAGUCAGAGGGAACCCUGGAAAGAGACAAUGCUCUUGGUGAUCAAAAAAAGAUUUUUAAAAAGAGGAAGGCUGUGCAGCUUGCAUCUACAUACUCUAGAAAAACCUGGAAGUUCACAACAAACAAACACAGGUAUCCCAUAUUUUAGGGGUUAGAUGCUCCAUGCCCCCGCAGUCUGGAAAAUCCACAUAAAAUUUUUGGACCUUCCCUUCAUACCAGAGAAGAAGUCUACAUUUUUUUCUUUUUCUUUCUUGGGGUGAUUAGAGUACCUUAUGAUAAAAUGUGGGUUAUUUCGCAUAAACUAUAUGUAACACUAUGCUUGGGACUUGUCAUUUUAAUGGAAUUUAUGGCAUUUAAAUGCCAUAAUAGAUAGAUAGGAGAAAUCCAAGAUAUAAAGAUCACUGAGCGAUCAUCAUGAGAUGUCAUGUGAGAGACUGCUGUAAAAACACUUGACAUCCCCAAACCAGCAUAUAGAAUUGCCAUUUUUUACUACAGCUUUAAUGACUGUCCUUUUAUGUUAUUAAAUAGUAAAAUAUAUACUAUAUAGGUAAUACUAUACGUAAAAUUACAUAUCUUUUAUGCAUCUAAGUUAUUAAACUUUUUAAAAUUAACUUUUUUUUAUUAAACUUUUAAAAAUAUCUUUAUGUUUCUAGCCUUUGUGUGUCAGCUGCUAGAUUUCAAGUUCUUUUUGUCAACUAACUUUUUUACUUAUUUUUAACUCUAAAAAAGAAAUUGUAGGGGGAAGCUGGGUGGCUCAGUGAUUUGAGAGUCAGACCUAGAGAUGGCCUUGGUUCAAAUCUAGCCUCAGACACUUCCUAGUUGUGUGAUCCUGGGCAAGUCAUUUAACCAUCAUUGCUUAGCCCUUACUGCUGCUCUUCUACCUUGGUACUAAUACACAUUAUUAAUUCUAAGAUAGAAAGGUAAGGGUUAAAAAAAGAAACUGUGUGUAUUUAUGUCAUUAAAAGACAAAAUAUGUUUACAAUUCUCUCUCUCUCUCUCUCUCUCUAUAUAUAUAUAUAUAUAUAUAUAUACAUAUGUAUGUAUGUAUGUUAUGCAUUUCUGAGCUUCUAAACUUUUUUCUAUGUCAUCUGCUGACCUUUGCAUGUCAUCUGCAGCUUUUUUAAAACUCUUCCCCAAAAUUCCCAUUUAAUUUCUUAUGCAAACAUGCAAUAUACUGAAACUGCAAUGGGAAAAGUUAUGAUGUGGAAUGGAUAUAUGCAACGACCAAGAACUUCUAUGAUAAACUAUAAAACAUCUUUGAUCUAGAACCGCAGAAAAAAUGAGUGCUCCCAGCAUGAGCAUGGCAUGGUACUUUAGCUCAAAUAUAGAGAGCCAGGGACACACGUAGCCUAGAAGGCUUGCCAUUUAGGUGGCAAUAAGAGUAGAAGGCUCCUCUGAGAAAGCUCCAGGGAGGUUACAGAAAAAGCUUCAAGGUAGGAACCUUGAAAAAGAUGGGGAGCAGUAAGAGAUUGGGAUGAAUAUGAUGGUUUAGUUCUCAGACUGGGAUAGCGCAGGUCCUGGGACUGUCAUAUCAUUAGUAUUGUCUGGAGGUGCCAGGAUGGGAGGCCCUGAAGGAGCAGGGCUCUGAACCUCAAAGAUGCAGAGGGGCUUAAAUCCCAGAAGGUGACGAUCAGAACAAGAACAUGGGAGACUCAAGACAAGACCAAGCAGGACUGAUUAUCACACUCAAAAAUACAUAGGGUCACUAUUUCAGAGACUAAAGCUGGAGAACAAAUAAACCCCACCCCAAAAUUACCCA
rnacentral:lncRNA from 1 species